AUUGAACGCUGGCGGCAGGCCUAACACAUGCAAGUCGAACGGUAACAGAAAGCAGCUUGCUGCUUUGCUGACGAGUGGCGGACGGGUGAGUAAUGUCUGGGAAACUGCCUGAUGGAGGGGGAUAACUACUGGAAACGGUAGCUAAUACCGCAUAACGUCGCAAGACCAAAGAGGGGGACCUUCGGGCCUCUUGCCAUCGGAUGUGCCCAGAUGGGAUUAGCUAGUAGGUGGGGUAACGGCUCACCUAGGCGACGAUCCCUAGCUGGUCUGAGAGGAUGACCCCCCACCCGGAACCUGAGACCGGGUCCAGCCCCCCACGGGGGGCCGCGGUGGGAAAUUUUGCCAAAGGGGGGAAAGCCUGAUGGCGCCACGCCGGGUGUAUGAAAAGGGCUUUCGGUUUGUAAAGUCCUUUCAGGGGGGGGAAGGGGGGUAAAGUUAAAACCUUUUCCCAUUGCCUUUCCCCGCAAAAAAGGCCCCGGCUACCCCCGU
rnacentral:rRNA from 1 species